rnacentral:rRNA from 1 species
GAUAAACGCUGGCGGCGUGCCUAACACAUGCAAGUCGAACGCCCUGCGUAAGCAGGACGUGGCGGACGGGUGAGUAACACGUGGGUACCUACCCUUAAGUGAGGAAUAUCGGCGAGAAAUCGCCGGCAAUACCGCAUACGUUUCGCAAGAAACAAAGCUCCGCAAGGAGCGCUUGAGGAUGGGCUCGCGCCCGAUUAGCUAGUUGGUGAGGUAAUGGCUCACCAAGGCGUUGAUCGGUAGCUGGUCUGAGAGGAUGAUCAGCCACACUGGGAUUGAG